CUCAUUAAGGUGGGUGGAAUAGUAUAACAAUAGAACAUGCAUUGUUAUAGUAUUCCACCUUCCCUGAUGUC
rfam:Rattus norvegicus chromosome 8, whole genome shotgun sequence.